GGAGCUCUGGAGGCAGUCGUUGAGAAGCCGGGGCCCGGGACCGUGGGACUAUGAGCUACGUGUGUGUGAGAAUCAAAUAUGGGGGUACGUGUGUCUCGAGAGGGCUGAGAAAGCUUGCUAGGGGUAGUGUCAUUGCACCCGAAUCCUUGGGCGCUUUGUGGCCAUCAGAAGCCGUGCAGAGACUCCAGAUGGCGGGAGACACAGUUCCCGAAGCUCCUUGAGUGCAGGCGUCUCUGAGGGCGCUGACGGGACUGUCUGUUGACUCUAAUGUGGAAGGAAGAUGUGUACAUGAGCAGUGUGUUGCCUCAGAACCCCAGGAAGGGACCAGAAGGUGUGAGACGUCUGUGUCCUUAGCACAUGAAACGGGCUUCCACUGCAUCUCCUUGAAGGCGGAUGUCGUCCUGAAACCUCACACUGCUGCCCAAAGAAGUGUGGUGGGUGCGGCUGCUCCGCUCUCAAACAAGUAGACCGGCCAGCCUCUUUCCAGAAGGUUGGAACGCUGGGAAGAUUCCUUCAGAGGUCUGAUCUCCGAGGACUCAGCUCAAGAAGGCUGAGCCCCAGUCAUACUCGGUCCACCAAGCGCCCAUACCAGCUUGAAUUUUGCUGCUCCAAGGAAUUAUUUUGAGGAAGGAGAAAGACAAUGUCUGGGACAUCGAGACAUCUCGACCAGCAUCUGGAACACACUUUUUCUGGAAUAUGAGCUGCCUUGGAGAACAGAUGAUAAAGCCCAGCCCUUCCCCUCAAGCUACUAAUGAUUGACAGCAAUUGAAUAAAUGCCCUCUAAUCUGAAACCUCUGCCAGAUGGAAGAAGUGAACUAUGCCGCCCACAAGCAGGAAGACCUGAGACCGGUGGAACCACAAGGGUGAUGCUGCUGCUCCCCAAGACCUCAUCAUGGACCCAACAGAAGAGCGUCCUCAAGUUGAUCAGGCUCUGCUCCUUGAACAAUAUAAGACUCCUCAAACCCCUCCAGGACCAGACACAUGGCCUUUCAUUUAUUUUAAUAUUUUAUUUAUUUAUCUAUUUAUUUGGCUGCGUUGGUUCUGAUUUGCAGAUGCGGGAUAGUCCCUACCUCUGGUGGGAUCUUGCUUGUAGCGCAAAGACUCAUCAGCUGUGGGGCAAGGGCUCAGCUGCUCCUGGACUGUGAGAUCUUAGAUUCCCCACCAGGGAUCGAACCCACGUCCACUGCAUUUCAAGGUGGACUCUAAACCACUGGACCCCCAGGGAAGUCCUAGGACACAGUCUUGAGGGCAAUUUGCCUGCUUGGUCCCCCCUGUGGGGCUAAGCAGUAAAGCUAGUUUUUCCAUUUCACUUAAAUCUCUCUCUCAGAUGUAAUCUGGCCCCAGUACACAGAGGCCCAAUUUUGGCAAGGAGAUCUGGAGGGAAACCAGGAGCAAUUGGAAGAACCGGAUCCUGGGGGCAGGAGGGCUGAGGGACCUGAGUCCCAGCCGGGUGGAAGGCUGCGAGGUGCCAAACGGGACAUUCCGGAGGGGAGCCCUGAGGAGGCGUCCUGUGGGCAGCAGGGGCGGCGCCCGCACAGACGGGCUCCUGAUCUCAGCGGAGGGGCUAGAGGAACCCGGGCAGCCCCGAGAGGAGUCAGGGGCACAGGGCCCAGGCGCCAGUCUUCUAGGGACAGAAUAGGGUCAGAACAGAGGGAAGGAGAAGCUCUGUGCACGGAGGACCCCCUGAGUGUGAGGACUGCCCCGGAGGGGAAACGUGUGGACGACGGUGUGGCCUCCAAGAAGCUCCGUGCUUCCCAAGGCGGGGCCCAGGAGGCUGGCAGUUCCAACAGUGCUGGAUGCACCUGAGGCCUCUAUUUGCCUCAAGGAGGGAAACUGGGAAUGCAGCCCCGUCCCUCCCCCAUCAGAGUUAUUCCUCACCCUGACUUUCCCCUCCCAUCCUUCAGGGCAGUGCCCCUCUCUUCACCCCCUGCCCCCUAAACUCAUCGCCCAUCCCCGGCUUUUCUAGAUUCUUCUGGGCUCUGCACACUCCUAGGCCUGCCCCAUCCUCGAUUCUCUGCCCCUCCCCGCACUCCAGGUUCUAGAUUUCAGACACGCUGGGACCUGGGCUGCAGUGCUUCCACGUGGACACACAUCUUGAGCCACAGACAAGAAGGAAAGGAGAAGGGACUAAAAACAACUCUACAUACAUGAACAGCUGGGGCAAAUGAUGCACGAGAUAAAAAAAGAAAAAAGAUCAAAACUCCAGUCACCCCUUUGGAGCUGGAGAACUAAAGUGGGGUCCUGGACGUGAUGCCUGCACACAGCACACCAAGCCUGUGGGCAGAGCUGGAUUUCAGCCCUCCCGCCCAAUGCUGGACCCAGCCUGCCCUCACCCCAUUUAGUGCACCAGAUUUCCCAUGUGUGCCCCUAUACCCCCCCAACCCCCCAGGAGCAAACAAGGGAACUUGUCACUUGUUUGACUCCCUGUUGCACUCAGAGCCCCAAUAAAACCUUGUCUGAAUUUCC